ACCCUGGGGACAUUACCACUGAGCCACAUCCCCAGCUCCCCAACUCUUUAUUUUUUAUUUUGAGUCAAGGUCUUACUAAGGUGCUUAGGGCCUCCCUAAGUUGCAGAGACUGGUUUUGAACUUGCCAUCUUUAUUCUUAUCUUCUGAGUUCCUGGGAUUAUAGGAGUACGCCACCAUGCCUAACUUCAUUAUUGUACCAUUCUAUUGGGCCUUGAUAUCUUGUUGUAAAUGAGAUAUUAAUUUUUCCCUAUUCUUUGUCUAUUUUUUCUUUUUUUGAUUUCUGCUCUUAUUUUUAUUGUUCCCUUCCUCCAACUUUGAGUUUCAUUUGUGCUUUCUUUUUCUUCUAAUGGAUAGAUCCUGGGACUGUAAAUCUUAAAACUUUUUUCUCUUCUAGUAUAAAAAUAGAAAGGUAUAAAAUUCCCUUUAAACAUUACGAAUUUCAUUCCACAGAUUUUGAUAAAUUGUAUUUUUUGUUUUCUUUCAGUUCAAAAUGUUUCCUAAUUUCCUGUGACUUUUAUGACUCUUACAGUGGUACAUAGCACACACCAUCCUCUUUGCUCUUGUUGACAUACCUUCAAUUCAUGUUAUGAACCUCAAUAUGGCUAAAGUAAAUUAUCUUUUUUUUUUUUUUUUUUUCAUUAUUGGGGAUUGAACUCAGGGCCUCUGGACUGCUAGGCAAGUGCCCUACCACUGAGCUACUUCCCUAACUCUUUAAUUUUAUUCAGACAGAGCUUUGCUAACUUACGUUGGCUUUAACAGACUUAAAAUCCUCUUGCCUCAGACUCUUGAGUAGCUGGGAUGACAGUCAUGCACCACUGUACCCAACCCAAAAUUAUCUUUUGAAGAAAUUUGAAAAUGAGAUUAAAAUAAGAGUUUACGUAUGAGCUCAGCUUGGUGGCACAUGUCUAUAGUCUCAACUAGUAUGGAGGCCUAGGGAAGAGUAUUGUCAAUUUGAGGCUAGCCUGGGGCAACAUAAUAAGACUUUGUCUCCAAAAAAAAAAUCUAAGAUUUACCAACUUAUUUGUAAUAUCCAUUCUUCAUUUUUUAGUGUAGAAUUGAGUUGUCAUCUGUUAUUACUUCCUUCUGCAUAAGGUUCCUUUAAUAUUUCUGGUAAUGUAGUAUUUUAAUAAUGAAUUCACUUGGCUUGUUUUGUUUUUGUUUUGCAUAUUUUUUUUCUAUUUACUUCAUUUUCAGUUUUGAAAGAUUUUUGGGCUAUAUACAAGAUUCUGGUCCACUUUUUUCUACAGUUUAAAGAUUUUUUUUCAUUGUCUUUUUAUUUGUACAAUUUAUGAUCAGCAGUCUGAAAAAUUCUAUCUUGUAAUAUGUCCUUUUUCUUUUGGCUGCAUUAUUACUGGUUUCAGCAGUGUGAUUAUGAUUUUAAUUGUGUGUGUGCAUGUGUAUGUGUGUUUAUUCUUCUUAGAUUUGUUGAU
rnacentral:lncRNA from 1 species